GGGUCUCUCUUGUUAGACCAGAUAGAGUCUGAGAACUCUCUGGCUAGCGAGGGAACCCAC
rnacentral:pre_miRNA from 1 species